rnacentral:snoRNA from 1 species
CCCCUUGAUGAGGAGGAUCUAGUCUAGUACAUCAUCACCGGAUUAGAUGAAGAUUUCAGUCCAAUCGUCUCCGCUCUGUGCACAAAGACUGAACCUAUGACAGUUGGGAGUUGUACUCUCAACUCCUCAACUAUGAAA